AAUUUUGGACAAUGGGGGAAACCUUGAUCCACCCAUCCGCCUUGUAUGUUGAGGGCCNNNGGGUUNUAAAGUACUUUUGGCAGNGACNAAAAGUUACUUCCUAUUACGAUUUGUUGCUACUGUUUUCUGCAGAAUAGGCACCGCCUAACUAGUUGCCAGCAGCCGCGGUAAUACGUAGGGUGUAAGCGUUAAUCGGAAUUACUGGGCGUAAAGCGUGUGUAGGCGGUUCGGAAAGAAAGAUGUGAAAUCCCAGGGCUCAACCUUGGAGCUGCAUUUUUAACUGCCGAGCUAGAGUAUGUCAGAGGGGGGUAGAAUUCCACGUGUAGCAGUGAAAUGCGUAGAUAUGUGGAGGAAUACCGAUGGCGAAGGCAGCCCCCUGGGAUAAUACUGACGCUCAGACACGAAAGCGUGGGGAACAAACA
rnacentral:rRNA from 1 species